rnacentral:rRNA from 1 species
GACGAACGCUGGCGGCGCGCUUAACACAUGCAAGUCGAACGGAAAGGCCCUGCUUUUGUGGGGUGCUCGAGUGGCGAACGGGUGAGUAACACGUGAGUAACCUGCCCUUGACUUUGGGAUAACUUCAGGAAACUGGGGCUAAUACCGGAUAGGAGCUCCUGCUGCAUGGUGGGGGUUGGAAAGUUUUGGCGGUUGGGGAUGGACUCGCGGCUUAUCAGCUUGUUGGUGGGGUAGUGGCUUACCAAGGCUUUGACGGGUAGCCGGCCUGAGAGGGUGACCGGCCACAUUGGGACUGAGAUACGGCCCAGACUCCUACGGGAGGCAGCAGUGGGGAAUAUUGCACAAUGGGCGGAAGCCUGAUGCAGCAACGCCGCGUGCGGGAUGACGGCCUUCGGGUUGUAAACCGCUUUCGCCUGUGACGAAGCGUGAGAGACGGUAAUGGGUAAAGAAGCACCGGCUAACUACGUG